rnacentral:rRNA from 1 species
CCUACGGGAGGCAGCAGUAGGGAAUAUUGCUCAAUGGGGGAAACCCUGAAGCAGCAACGCCGCGUGGAGGAUGAAGGUUUUCGGAUUGUAAACUCCUUUUGUUAGAGAAGAAAAUGACGGUAUCUAACGAAUAAGCACCGGCUAACUACGUGCCAGCAGCCGCGGUAAUACGGAGGGUGCAAGCGUUACUAGGAAUCACUGGGCGUAAAGAGCGCGUAGGCGGGAUAGCAAGUCAGAUGUGAAAUCCUAUGGCUUAACCAUAGAACUGCAUUUGAAACUGUUAUUCUAGAGUAUGGGAGAGGUAGGUGGAAUUCUUGGUGUAGGGGUAAAAUGCGUAGAGAUCAAGAGGAAUACUCAUUGCGAAGGCGACCUGCUAGAACAUAACUGACGCUGAUGCGCGAAAGCGUGGGGAGCAAACAGGAUUAGAUACCCCAGUAGUC